UACGUAGGGGGGCAAGCGUUGUCCGGAUUUAUUGGGCGUAAAGAGCGUGUAGGCGGCCAGGUAGGUCCGUUGUGAAAACUCGAGGCUCAACCUCGAGACGUCGAUGGAAACCAUCUGGCUAGAGUCCGGAAGAGGAGAGUGGAAUUCCUGGUGUAGCGGUGAAAUGCGCAGAUAUCAGGAAGAACACCUAUGGCGAAGGCAGCUCUCUGGGACGGUACUGACGCUGAGACGCGAAAGCGUGGGGAGCGAACAGG
rnacentral:rRNA from 1 species